rnacentral:rRNA from 1 species
UAGUCCACGCCGUAAACGUUGGGCACUAGGUGUGGGCGGUUAUCAACGCCGUCCGUGCCGUAGCUAACGCAUUAAGUGCCCCGCCUGGGGAGUACGGUCGCAAGACUAAAACUCAAAGGAAUUGACGGGGGCCCGCACAAGCGGCGGAGCAUGUUGCUUAAUUCGAUGCAACGCGAAGAACCUCACCUAGGUUUGACAUGCUGGGAAAAGCCACAGAGAUGUGGUGUCCUUCGGGGUCCAGCAC